GACUAACGCUGGCGGCGUGCUUAACACAUGCAAGUCUGACGAGAAAACGGUAGCAAUAUCGUUAGUAAAGUGGCGAACGGGUGAGGAACACGUAACCAAUCUGCCCUGAAGUGGAGGAAAACUGAGGGAAACCUUAGCUAAUCCCCCAUAAUGAGGUGCCUAUCGCAUGAGAACACCUUUAAAGAUUUAUCGCUUCGGGAGGAGGUUGCGUCUGAUUAGCUAGUUGGCGGGGUAACAGCCCACCAAGGCUUCGAUCAGUAGCUGGUCUGAGAGGAUGAUCAGCCACACUGGGACUGAGAUACGGCCCAGACUCCUACGGGAGGCAGCAGUAGGGAAUCUUGCGCAAUGGGGGAAACCCUGACGCAGCGACGCCGCGUGCGGGAUGAAGGCCU
rnacentral:rRNA from 1 species